UAACGGUUGGAAAUCCCGAGAAAGAACUUUGGAUCACCGGAAGCGUGAUUUGAGCGGAUGGUGGGAUAUCGAGAGGCCGGCUCGUUUGAUUCUGGGGUUUCUCGUGGAAAAGUGGCGGCUUUUUUUAGGAUUUGGUGAUCUCUGGAGCACAGAAGCCUCUUCCCUGAGAGGAUUGCUGCAGACGAAGCGCAAGGUGUUGAUGUAGGUAAUUCGAGUGCUAAAUGAGCCUCUUGAUCCGUGGGUGUGAGGUGAGAUUUUCUUCUUUUCCUUCUUGUUUUACCGUAGGUUCUCGAAUCUAAUUCGUUUUUUCAUCAUUUGUUCUUCGUCUAUGAUCCGAGGAGAACAAGAACCUCCUGGCUCUUGUGCGAGACGGAAUGGGAUGAUCUCCUUGAGGUUUUGUUCGGAAGAUUUACGAUUCUGCAGCUUUCAUGCCAUUCUUGCUCAAUGAGUCAGCGGUGCUGAGAGUAAUCAAAUCAGUUGAAAUGGCUCAUCUAUAUUAUUUUUAUUUUUCAUUUUUUUUCCAGAUUAAACUUCCGAGUUCUUGUUUUCCUUCUUAAUUUUAGCGGAUUAUAUAUCAAGUUUCAAGUCUUUCUUGAAGUUAUUUUUCUGAAUCCUCCAAGAAGAUAAAUAAUAGUGUACGAUUUUCUUACAUUUGAAAGUUGAAAUUUGUUCUUUUUUUCCCCCCUUCUCUUGGUGACUUUAAAUUUGAUUCUUGUGCUCAGGUGGGGUUUUUCUUAUUUCAUCCUUCAUCUAUCUUUUGUUCCUUAAUUUUCUUGCUUUGAAUAAAAGCAUGGAGUAGUUACAGUAAAGUUCUUGGUGCUGCGAAGGAAAACGACAAUUUUUAGUGUAUAAGAGCAUCCGGUUAUGAUGACAAGAACAGUCAUGAAUCCAACCAAGGUUCUGCAAAGCUACCAUGCUCAGCACAGGCAUGCGCGUGAACGCUUUUGAUUCUAACCCAGGACAUCAGGCCUAUAAGGACAUCAGGCAUGGUGAGGAUCAUGACGAAGGAAGCUGCACAUUGUUCAUGGGGCACUAUGGUUUAUAAAGACACCCGCACCUAGGUCAUUCCUUGGAACAAUCUCUGCAGAUAUAUGCUAGAAAAAUGUGGCACCUUGACCAAGAGAACUAUGCCCCGGGGAACUAUCAAGAAACUAUUUUAAUGGAUUAUUCACAAGUUAUCAGAUUGAUGCAGCAAUUACUAUCCUGAAGGAGCACUCUACUUCCCAACUAAACUGAGUGUAUGCCAUGUACAACUCAGCCUUGCUCACACUUCUCUCUCUUUCCCACUUCUGUUCUGCAAUCCCAACAUACUCUGCAGUGUAAUUGAGUAUGCCCUUUUUCCAAAUAUCUGCCUUUUUGGGUGUUUCAAUGGUUCUUCACAGUUCUCAUGACAGUGUUAAUACUUUCUGAGCAAGAUCCUCGUCCAGGACUCUGGAAUUGCCAGAGUAAAUUCCCUCUUUAUGAGUUCUUUUGCAUCAUAAUCUCAAUAUUUGAGAACUUUGAGGCAUGGAAGUGUACUAAACCCUGCUUUUCUCUAAAAAAAAAGAUGUUCAUCAAGGAAAACUGGGCUUGUUGAGGCAUGGAAGUGUACCAAACCCUGCUUUUCUCUAUAAAAAAGAUGUUCAUCGAGGAAAACUGGGCUUGUUCACCUCUGAUGCCUCGCUGCCUACCAUUUUAUACGGGAGGCGAGUUGACAAAAUGUUCCUUCUGUUUUCUCCAAAAGGCAUUAAGAGCUUGUCGUCCGUCAUUAGAAUCGUAGACUUAGGUGCAGAGUUUGUACUUUCUUAAACUUCUUUGUAUCUCAAAGCUAUCAGAAGUUUCACAUUCUUCAUUGGGUCCUGAUUUAAUAAUGACUAAUGCUAGAUCUUUCUUGCCAGUUACAUUCUGAAAUAUUCUGAGAUGUAUGUGGAAAUCAAUGAGAAAGGAAGAGGAGGGUUGUGAAAGAGGCAUCUUUGCAGGAUAAAGAGAGAAACAGAAACAUUGAUUUAAAAAUGACUACUUCGUUGGAAGCAGAACCUGCAAGCCUCCUGCAAGAUUUUGGGGUGGAAAAGAGAUGUCUGCUGUCAUCAGGAAUGAGCAGGCCUGCAGAUAAACCCUAAGCAAGAUUGUUCAAAUGGCUCACAAAACCCAAGUAAGGCAAUUCUGUAGUGCCAAUUAUGCAUGUGCUAGCUGUCUGUACAAUACACCGUAAGUUCUUGAUUGUCUAUAUGAGCAAGUUGCUGUAUGGUUCAAUCUUUUUUGGUGGAAAUUCCCAAGUCAAUUCAUUCUUGAUUGUCUAAACCCAAGAUUCAUAUGUUAUUGCUGAUCCAUAUCCCAUGUAAUUGCUCAGUAGAGUUUAUGUUGGGGAUCCAAAAUAAUAAUAUAAAAAUGGGAUCAAAUUAAGGAAUGUUUUAUUAUUUUAACAAUUAGAGAAGCCAUCCAGUUUAUUCUGCA